rnacentral:rRNA from 1 species
UCCGUAGGCGGUGCGGCAAGUCGGAAGUGAAAUCUCAGGGCUUAACCCUGAGGCUGCUUCCGAAACUGCCGUGCUCGAGUGCGAGAGAGGCGAGUGGAAUUGCAGGUGUAGCGGUGAAAUGCGUAGAUAUCUGCAGGAACAUCCGAGGCGAAAGCGGCUCGCUGGAUCGCAACUGACGCUGAGGGACGAAAGCUAGGGGAGCAAACAGGAUUAGAUACCCUGGUAGUCCUAGCCCUGAACGAUCAGGACUGGGCGUGGGCCUCGUACGGGGCUCGUGCCGCAGCUAACGCGUUAAGUCCUGCGCCUGGGGAGUACGGUCGCAAGGCUGAA